UGAUUGCGGCUACCGUGCGCGACCCAGGACUCGAUUCUGGGACAGGUGUUAACAGAACAAAAUUUCGUUCGUUGUUAAAAAUGUGAAAAUUAAAUAAUUAUAGCGUCAUGGACAGCAAUUGCUGUCAGCUGAUCAAAAAAAUUAACCCGGGUAUGACGUGGAUUGAACGGAACACCUAUAAACAUCGUAUAGGUAGUACUUUGCGGGUAGUAGCCAACAAUUUUAAAAAAUAAAGGGCUGGCGCCACUUUGAGAUAAUUGCUAGGCUCGUUUUUUAAAUCGGCUAUAGAUUUGCCAGUUGUGUGCGCUUUUGUGAAUAAAAUGUUUUUUUUUUCCCUUAGAUCUUAUUGUCGAACUGAUCGGUUCUGUGACGUUCGCCUACCAGAGAAGCCAAAAGUACUUGGUAGUUGUCAUCGAGUGCAGCGAGCAGAUAGUACCGCGGUGUUCGUCGAGAAUAAAUAGUUCGUCUGGGACUCUGUUCAGCGUAGAGUGGAUAGCGAAAGUAAAUGUAGCACAAUAUAUUAAUGAGGGACGUAAGAUAGUACGUCAAUCUGAUGCUGACAGUAGAAAGUCAUUUGUUGUCAACCUUCGACCCGUUUGACACGAACCAGCGGAUCAUCAACCCUGCAAUAGAUGUUUUUCGGUAAUAACCGGCUUUGUGGCCACAGGGACAGAUUCGGUACUUCGAAUUGACACUCCGUGUCCGACUCGUUCACUGUCUAUUAAUGGGCAUUUAAAGGACAGUGAGGUCUUGAAUGAGAUCAAUGCGCCUACAACGUCCGACAGGCUCUAGGCUUACCAGUACUAUUUUUUUUUACAUAACUACUACGUUUUCGUUUCCAACCGACAUUGCUUAUUAAAGUAGCGUGGUUACUGUUCUUGUAGCCGUAUAGAGGAAAAGUAUCUGCUUACAAAUGAUUUAGUAUGUUAUUAUUAUUAGAUUUAUUAGAUUUUUGCUGACCCUACGUUACCACUGCGUAAUUAAUUAAUAAAGAAGUUCUUGUUUUUAUGUAGGGUUAUAUGUUCAUUUCAAUACGCUGUAUGUGAAAAGCUAGACGAACUGCUACUACCAUCUACUAAAUAACGACCAUAGUCUCUUUUCUAACAAAUCAAAUAUUGUAGGGAAAUUAUUCUUUUGAAUUUUCUGACAUAUGUUUCAUGUUAGUGGCCACAUAUUGUCUUGCCACAACUAUGUGGAUACGAGUACUUAUUUCAAUGAGAUCAAGGUAUUAGUUUGACACUAUUUAAGUAGCUAUAAUGAAUUUUACGGCUGAUUGUUGCACUAAAUAACAAAUGAGCCCCUUAAAUUAACAAAAUUACCUUAAGUGUAGGUUACAUAACAGGACUAUGGAACGUUGAACUAUAAAAAUAUUAAUACCAGGUUUUAGUAACCCUAAAUAAUCUUGUACAAGCACUUAACAAACGUUUCACAAAAAAAAACUGUAAGCCAGAAGUUCUUUAUCCGUCAAGUACCUGGUAUCGAAACAGAUUGGAAAAUGCGAAGCCAAUAAUCUUACACGCUAAUAAAUUGCUCACUAAUUUAAAGUGCUAAUGUGUUAUAAUUAAAAAUUAAGCUAGGCAAGGUUUUUACGAGCAAUACACGAAUACGUCAUGUGAACUAUUAGUGUUUUUUAAAAAAUCUGCUAAAAGUGUGCCUAGUAGCCUAGGUUGCCACUGACGAACAGAUACCGAACUAAUAGCAUUUAAAAAAAAUAUUUUACACUGUUGCAUGAAUCGAAGCGCCGACACUUGUCAAAUUCAGACCUAAAAUUCGGUCCAGAUUUCCUAAUAGGUCUCGAGUGCUAGCUUAUUAAAUUGAAAAACCGUAGGUCGAAUUUCUGAAGUCAGUCUAAAAGUGGAAGAAGCAACCUCAUGUUUGUCCCAAUUGCUGAUGUACCCUGAUUCUGCAUUGCGCUUGUUUGAAUCCAACUAAACUGUUUGGGCGUCAUUGUUAGCUUCCACAGCAGUGAGUAUACAACUGUUUCUAGUAGGAGCCAAAUGGAAAGCAACGCGUCCUUAUGAAAAAUAAAAUAACUACCUUAUUUGUAGCCGUACAGAAAAGCUAAAGUUUACUUGCAGUACUACGUAAACUCGAUAAUACGUCAAUAACAUGUCCUAGUCACCCGUACAAUCGUUCGAAUAUGGCGCGCUUUAUUGAAGUGCGCCACAUUCAUGUCAGUUAGGAAAAAAUCCUCGAUAUUGAAAAACUUGUGACCUAUGCAGAGCAACUGUCACUUUGGGCGCAGAAUCUAUAACGUAAAGUAUGACUUACAUACAAGCUAAACAUGCUAGGAUUAUACACGACUCGACAUUUUCAUUUGCUGACUCCAUGGCAGACAGUUAAACAUCACGUAGAAAAUAAGAACAUGGAGGUCCUCUGACUAUGUCUUUGAGAUACAGCAGCUGAAGUGAGAUGAAACGUGAGGUUUUCCAUAUUACGGGAAAAUAAUUAUAUAAACAACUAUUUUCGUUGGUUUUUCUGAUGACUACCUAUGGUAGUACUGAUGAUGAAUGGUUCUUAACGGGCUUUCUGAAAGCCGUGUUCGUAAAUGGAGCAAAUGGCUCACUCCUCUUAGUGCCAAAUUCGUUUGUCUUAAUGAUAGCCCCAAAGCCUAACUUGGCUAUUUGGUAUUAUACGCUACGGUGACGUCCGUCAACCUCACUUCCUGAAAACAUAAUCAUUUAAGCAUUUCUCUUGACGCCCGUUCGCGUUCUCAUAGCCGUCAGUAAUAUCGUACUUGAACCAGGGUGACUUUGAAAACCAUGGAAUAGUCAUCCUGGUGGCGAGCGGCUGAUGACUGGCAACUUUCAAUGGCCCCCGCGAAUUCCAGCGAGGGUCACUGAGAAUACGUAGCCCACUACGACAGCGACAGAAGAGGACGAAAUAUACUUAUAUUUUAAUACUAUAAAGUAAAUUAGUAUGGGUGAUUCAGAUUUCCCGGAAGAGUACAGAUUUUACGAUGCAUAAUACUCGUAUUUUUUUUUGUUUUUAUGAAUUUAUAUGUAUAUAUUUUUUUUAUACAUUUUGUUUAUAGGAAUGCCAUGGGGACAACGUAUGUUGGAAACGAUGUUUAUGUUGGAAAUCACCGCAACUUUAAAAUAAUGGCACAGAAAAGUGAGAACGAAACGCCAUAUUGCAGUUUCUGACGUCGCCGUUAAUCAGUAACGGCUGAUAUGUAGUCCGGAUAAAACUAUAAAAAAAACGUUUUCUAAAAACGCAUUCUAAGUAUUGUGUAUCGAACCGAUUUAUGAGCAUUAAUUGCGGCGACCUACAACAGGAAAUAUCUAUUGGAAAUUUGAUUUGAAGUGCUAUGGAAUCGCAGCAUCGAUUCUACAAUGCCCUACAUGGUAAAACUUUACGGCGAGUGUAGGGUGGCUGGAAAAAUCAGGACUAGGUUAGAAAUUAAACCAGUACAAUCUGAUACUAGUAUGUACUGAUAUAUCGAACAACUUCAGUCAGUCGAACAUUGGGUUUGAACUAGAGAAACAAACUAGCUGGAAAACAACAACAGCAAUACCAAAGAUCAGUGCGCAACUAACAAGUAAGUUUAACGAUUUAAUCAACCCGCUAUGCACAUUUAGAAGUCAUCUAGUUCGCACUAGAGGAGAGGAGUCAAUUACACGAAUGAGUAAUCGCUUAUUAACAGACAUCUCUGCUUCAGUAGAAGAUUCUUUUGCCUGUUCUUCGCUCUGACGUUAUUUGCCGCCGCCGAAUCUCUUCAUUCGGACUGUAGCUAUUCCAGGCUAGUCACCGGAACACCCACCCUGACCAUGAUCUUCUUCAUUCAUAUCAAACGCCGUUCACUCCCGGUUCAACGGGUAUCACCAUGUUCUUCAGCAGUAUCAUUUGGAAAUAUAUAUACCACGGCUCGUUAAAUGUCCGGUCACUACAUUUUCAGUUUUAAGGUAUGGCAGUCGGGCAAAAGGUAAAAAGAGUACGUGAAGUUGCUAGCAGAAUCCAAUGUCGAGUGCCAAUUUGCUCAGUGUACGUUGCCUACCGGCGGUAUA